GCCAUUGAGGCAGUAGCCGCACUGCGCUGCCUGUUCUUCGAUGAAGGCCUUCUGCACCGGAUCAAGAUGAUCGCGCGAUCCAAGACCUUCGAGUGUGAGGAUGUCUCGCUGCACGCAGCCGCUAAUAGGAAUGACGCAUGAGCGCGCCGCUAUACCGUCGAUAAUCACGGUGCAGGCGCCACAUUCCCCGAGACCGCAGCCGUAUUUGGGGCCGUUCAGUUCGAGAUCGUUGCGCAGUACGUAGAGAAGGGCGGUGUCUGGCGCGGCAUCGACAUCGUGAAUUCUGCCGUUGACGGUCAGACGGAUCGUUGUUUGCAUCAUGCUCAUCGUCACGGUCCGGUCUGCUGCGCUGCAAACUCCGGCAACGCCUAUCCCAACGAUACCGUUUGUAUACAAACGUGCAAG
rnacentral:misc_RNA from 1 species